AUUGAACGCUGGCGGCAGGCUCAACACAUGCAAGUCGAGCGCGCGGCGGACGGGUGAGUACUGUCUGGGAAACUGCCCGAUGGAGCGGGAUAACUACUGGAACCGGUAGCUAAUACCGCAUACCCUCAGAUGCGCCCAGAUGGGAUUAGCGAGUAGGUGGGGUAAUGGCUCACCUAGGCGACGAUCCCUAGCUGGUCUGCGUCGAGGACCAGCCACACUGGGACUGAGACACGGUCCAGACUCCUAGGGGAGGCAGCAGUGGGGAAUAUUGCACGAUGGGCGCAAGCCUGAUGCAGCCAUGCCGCGUGUGUGAAGAGGGCCUUCGGGUUGUAGAGCACUUUCAGCGAGGAGGCGUUACUCGCAGAAGAAGCACCGGCGAGCUCCGUGCCAGCAGCCGCGGUAAUUC
rnacentral:rRNA from 1 species